GAUGAACGCUGGCGGCGUGCCUAAUACAUGCAAGUCGAACGAAACUUCUUUAUCACCGAGUGCUUGCACUCACCGAUAAAGAGUUGAGUGGCGAACGGGUGAGUAACACGUGGGCAACCUGCCCAAAAGAGGGGGAUAACACUUGGAAACAGGUGCUAAUACCGCAUAACCAUAGUUACCGCAUGGUAACUAUGUAAAAGGUGGCUAUACUACCGCUUUUGGAUGGGCCCGCGGCGCAUUAGCUAGUUGGUAGGGUAAAGGCUUACCAAGGCAAUGAUGCGUAGCCGAAUUGAGAGGUUGAUCGGCCACAUUGGAACUGAGACACGGCCCAAACUCCUACGGGAGGCAGCAGUAGGGAAUCUUCCGCAAUGGGCGAAAGCCUGAUGGAGCAACGCCGCGUGGGUGAAGAAGGUCUUCGGAUCGUAAAACCCUGUUGUUAGAGAAGAAAGUGUGUGAGAGUAACUGUUCACGUUUCGACGGUAUCUAACCAGAAAGCCACGGCUAACUACGUG
rnacentral:rRNA from 1 species